GAUGAAGAACGUAGUGAAAUGCGAUAAGUAAUGUGAAUUGCAGAAUUCCGUGAAUCAUCGAAUCUUUGAACGCACAUUGCGCCCCCUGGUAUUCCGGGGGGCAUGCCUGUCCGAGCGUCAUUGCAACCUUCAAGCGCGGCUUGUGUGUUGGGUCUCGUCCCCCGUGGACGGGCCCGAAAGGCAGUGGCGGCGUCCCGACAUGGUGCCCGAGCGUAUGGGAAUCCUCUUCCGCUCGAAUCGGCCCAUGCGGCGCUGGUCGUAACCAAAUUUUUUACCGGUUGACCUCGGAUCAGGUAGGGAUACCCGCUGAACUUAAGCAUAUCAAUGAGCGGAGGA
rnacentral:misc_RNA from 1 species